rfam:Glycine soja cultivar W05 scaffold1598_50, whole genome shotgun sequence.
UUUGUUGUCAUUUAGUCAGGUAAGAUGACUGGCUAUCGCCCAGUUUUCCCGGGUUCAAAUCCUAACAAUGAAA